CAUUUCGUGAUUUAAAUGACCAUUUUCAACGGCUUGAAGGAAAGCUUCUGUGGAAAAAGGGGAAUUCGUAGUAUCUGGAACAAUGCUUUCAAAUAAGGUCUCUGUCAGAUUGUUUAUAAGUAUGUCACUACGAUAUUGACUCUUCCAAAAAUCAAAAUUUUCUUCUUUUAAACGUAAAUCCACAUGAUCGAAAUUGUAGUCCCAAAUAUCAAGGUUUUGACUUUGAGCUUUCUGCAAGAUAUCGCUCAAAUUAUUUUCUUCUUCCAAAUGCAAACGGACUACUAUUUCUUCGUUAUAAUCAGGAAUUUUUUCGGCCCAAAUUAACUGUUCUUCUGAUAUGGCCGCAGUCUCGCCAUUAAACCCAACGUAACUGGUCAUCCAAGAUCGAAUAUCUGAAUUCCAUUUCACUCCAAGUUCUCUAGAACUUUUUCCGUAGCAAAGGAAUAAUACAAAUACGAUCUGAGAAGCCAAAAGGAUAAAUACUAAAGACUUUAGAGAUUUAUUGUAAGCCAUGAGUUAGAAAGAGCAGUCUUCAGUGACAUGGAAAAAGGAGAUAUAGAAUAAUUAAGAUAUUCCCUUUAGAAAAGCGUCGAAAUAAAUAAAUUAAGUAACGCUUGUUCGGUAUAAUUAAUAAGAAGAAUAUAGCUUGGCGCUUCGCCCAGCUUUGAUUAUCUACGUAAGGGACGACAACAGUUUAACGCUGAAAUUAGCUACUACUCAACGAAAUUUAACCUCUUCCCUAAUCAAACGCUAUAACACUUUACAUCGGUGAAAUCAGGUCUCACUAUUGCCUAUAAAUACAAACAUGGAUCGCACAUUAAGAAUAUACUAAAUU